rnacentral:rRNA from 1 species
CAGUAGCCGCGGUAAUACGUAGGUGGCAAGCGUUGUCCGGAAUUAUUGGGCGUAAAGGGCUCGCAGGCGGUUUCUUAAGUCUGAUGUGAAAGCCCCCGGCUCAACCGGGGAGGGUCAUUGGAAACUGGGAAACUUGAGUGCAGAAGAGGAGAGUGGAAUUCCACGUGUAGCGGUGAAAUGCGUAGAGAUGUGGAGGAACACCAGUGGCGAUGGCGACUCUCUGGUCUGUAACUGACGCUGAGGAGCGAAAGCGUGGGGAGCGAACAGGAUUAGAUACCCCCGUAGUCCCUGUCUCUUAUAA